rnacentral:rRNA from 1 species
AUGGGAAAGCUAAAGGGCUCCCCUCUUGCAGCAAAGACUGUUGGUAUAUUACUAAGGACAGACCCUAGUUUGGCUCAUUGGAGAAGGGUCCUAAACAGUAAACAGUGGGCGAAACAGACCAAUGGAAUUAUGUCUGCCUUGGAGCUUAGCUAUGACUUUCUCCCUUUCCAUCUGCAACGGUGCUUUUCCUAUUCUGCAUUAUUUCCCGAAGAUUACUAUUUCAGAAGCCAUGAGCUUAUCAGCCUGUGGAUUGGACUAGAUAUUUUGAUGCUUGCUGGUCAAAAUCAAACAUUUGAAGACAUAGGUCUGAGAAAUUUAAAGGAGUUAGUCAUCCAUGGAUUUUUCAUAGAAGAGGAAACUGAUGGUGAUCUGUGUUAUGUUAUGCAUGACCUACUGCAUGAUUUGGCAUCGAAGGUUGCAUCUCAUGAUUGUCUCAGUUUACGUCUCCCUAGUGUUGGAUCAGUAGAAAUUCAGCCAACCACCCGCCACUUGUCUAUAAGCACAGAGGGCUUAGGUGAAUCUGAUGCAGUUUCUGGUGGAAAAUUGAAGAAUGAAUUGGAAGAACUGAAGACAAGAUUUAAGGUUGAAGAUUUGCAAACAUUGUUAUUAUUUGGAGAAAUGGAUGAAGGUUUUGUCAAGAUAUUUGGUGAUUUUUUGGGGGAAGCGAACACUCUUCAUGUUCUUCAUUUGCCAAGCAUGCUUUGUCCCGUGGUAUCCCUGUUACAAAACUUCUCAAAACUUGUGCACCUCCGAUACCUUUGUCUAGGGACAUGGAAGAGUGAGAUGCAUUUACCACUGAACAUCUCUAAAUUUUAUCAUUUAAGGAUUCUAAAUCUUGAGUUGUGGGGUGACAGUCGUGAUUUGCCCUAA